AUGGUCGAUUGCUGUUUCUUCCGGACCAAAGGAGCAGAUUGGUUAGUGAAGAACAGUCAAAGAGGCUUGAGCACCAUCAUUGAAUCCAUGAACUUCAUCCUCAUGUUGGGAACCCAAGAUGCUGACCACAGCAAGGCACUGUGUAAAGAGGUGUCAUUUCCCUGUGGUGUUAUGACAGGAAAGCCCAGAGAAUCUCUGCUUCCAGAGGUGAUAUUUGGUUCUUCUUUCUGUUGUUAUUCUGAUGAGGGGUCAUUUGUUCAAUUACAAAGGUGGGUUAACAUUAAUGGUGAAUUAUAGGCAAAGCCAUUUGGAAGUAAAAUAAGAACCUAGAAGAGUUCAUGUCAUUUUCAAAGCUACGUUAUUUGCAAGGUCAUAACUCAAGCCUUUAAAUAAAUCUGGUUUGUUAUUUUUUAACUGAACA
rnacentral:lncRNA from 12 species